rnacentral:rRNA from 1 species
AUUGAACGCUGGCGGCAGGCUUAACACAUGCAAGUCGAGCGGAGAUGAGGUGCUUGCACCUUAUCUUAGCGGCGGACGGGUGAGUAAUGCUUAGGAAUCUGCCUAUUAGUGGGGGACAACAUUCCGAAAGGAAUGCUAAUACCGCAUACGUCCUACGGGAGAAAGCAGGGGAUCUUCGGACCUUGCGCUAAUAGAUGAGCCUAAGUCGGAUUAGCUAGUUGGUGGGGUAAAGGCCUACCAAGGCGACGAACUGUAGCGGGUCUGAGAGGAUGAUCCGCCACACUGGGAUUGGGACACGGCCCAGACUCCUACGGGAGGCAGGAGUGGGGAAUAUUGGACAAUGGGGGGAACCCUGAUCCAGCCAUGCCGCGUGUGUGAAGAAGGCCUUAUGGUUGUAAAGCACUUUAAGCGAGGAGGAGGCUACUGAGACUAAUACUCUUGGAUAGUGGACGUUACUCGCAGAAUAAGCACCGGCUAACUCUGUGCCAGCAGCCGCAGUAAAAC